ACCUCUACUACUCUCAAGUCUCAACUAAUGGUUUUAUUGCCUAAUUAAACACCAUGUCUGGUGGAUGAAUCUAUUCCUAGCUUUUGCAUUGUAGUUGGUGUUUCUUUUCCCCCCGGGUUAGUGGUUCUCUCAACAGCUUCCUUUGUAAACACUAUUUAAUAUAUUCUUUAAAAUCCUUUGUAAAAAAAAAAUAGAAAUCAUUGUAUUAUCAUUCAAUUUCAAAUUUACGUUGUACUUAAACUUAGUGAUCAAAGAAAAGAAAAAAAACUUGCAUCUAAAAGUCUUGAACAAACACAAUAUUGUAACUUAAGCUGAAUCAAAUACAAAAAGG
rnacentral:lncRNA from 1 species